GUGUUCUCUGGCUACGCAAAUAUGACGUGGAAUGAUCCAGAGAUGAUUAGCAUGGCCCCUGUGCAAGGAUAACAUACAAAUCUGUGGUGUCCAGAUCUGUUUU